GACGGAGGGUGCUAGCGUUGUUCGGAAUGACUGGGCGUAAAGGGCGCGUAGGCGGCUCGUGAAGUCGGGUGUGAAAGCCCGGGGCUCAACCCCGGAACGGCAUCCGAUACUGGCGGGCUUGAGACCGGGAGAGGAGGGUGGAAUACCCAGUGUAGAGGUGAAAUUCGUAGAUAUUGGGUGGAACACCGGUGGCGAAAGCGCUCUGCUGGGCCGCAACUGACACUAAUGGACGAAAGCUAGGGGAGCGAAUGGG
rnacentral:rRNA from 1 species